AUGAUCACCGUGAGUGGGGCGAGGCCGGGCGCCACCCCGGGCUCCUUCCAUAAGGUCUUCCAGCUGCCAUCCAACGCCAGCCUCGACGACAUCGCCGGCCGCUUCGAGGCGGCCGUGCUCACGCUCACCGUGCCCAACCGCCUGUACUCUGGUGUCCCGGCGCCGACUACUGUCGUCGAGGAGAUUAAGAGGGAUAAACCUGGUGUGGUUAAGGAGGAUGGUGCCGCCACCACCACCGCCAACCAAAGACGUCGCCGGCGGUGA
rnacentral:rRNA from 1 species